rnacentral:rRNA from 1 species
AGCCUUCAGCCGACCAAGUAUUGAAGGUGAUGCCUGCCCAGUGACCCCCUGUUCAACGGCCGCGGUAUCCUAACCGUGCGAAGGUAGCGCAAUCAAUUGUCUCAUAAAUCGAGACUUGUAUGAACGGCUAAACGAGGUCCUAACUGUCUCUUACAGAUAAUCAGUGAAAUUGAUCUCCCCGUGCAAAAGCAGGGAUAAACACAUAAGACGAGAAGACCCUGUGGAACUUUAAAAUCAACGGCCAUCACACGACAGACCAAAACCUACUAGGCUCACUACCUUAAAGCACUGACUCGUAUUUUUCGGUUGGGGCGACCUUGGAGAAAAACAAACCCUCCAAAAACAGGACCACACCUCCUGACCAAGAGCAACUCAUCAACGUACAAACAGUAACCAGACCCAAUACAAUUGACCAAUGGACCAAGCUACCCCAGGGAUAACAGCGCAAUCUCCCUCAAGAGCCCAUAUCGACAGGGGGGUUUACGACCUCGAUGUUGGAUCAGGACACCCCAGUGGUGCAGCCGCUACUAAGGGUUCGUUUGUUCAACGAUUAACAGUCCU